rnacentral:rRNA from 1 species
UACGUAGGGUGCGAGCGUUAAUCGGAAUUAUUGGGCGUAAAGCGCGCGCAGGCGGUCUUUUAAGUCUGAUGUGAAAGCCCACGGCUCAACCGUGGAAGGUCAUUGGAAACUGAAAGACUUGAGUACAGAAGAGGAAAGCGGAAUUCCACGUGUAGCGGUGAAAUGCGUAGAGAUGUGGAGGAACACCAGUGGCGAAGGCGGCUUUUCUGGUCUGUAACUGACGCUGAGGCGCGAAAGCGUGGGAGCAAAACAGG